AUACGGAGGACGCGAGCGUUAUCCGGAUUCAUUGGGUUUAAAGGGUGCGCAGGCGGCCGUGCAAGUCAGCGGUGAAAGCCCGGGGCCCAACCCCGGAAGUGCCGUUGAUACUGCAUGGCUUGAAUGCGGUCGAGGCGGGCGGAACGUGGCGUGUAGCGGGGUAAUGCGUAGAAAUGCCACAGAACCCCGAUAGCGGAGACGUCUCCCCGGGCCUGGAAUGACGCUCGGGCACGAAAGCGUGGGGAUCGAACAGGAUUAGAUGCCCUGGUAGGCCACGCCGUAAACGAUGGGCGCUCGUCGUCGGUGGCAGACAGUCGGCGGCCAAGCGAAAGCGAUAAGCGCCCCACCUGGGGAGUACGGUCGCAAGGCUGAAACUCAAAUGAAUUGACGGGG
rnacentral:rRNA from 1 species